GCUCCUCCACAAGUUCUCUUGUUUCUUCUCUCUAGCAGCCACUACUGAGAAAUGUCCCUCUUGCCUUGAACCAGAAGAUUCCAUUUUGCACACCCGCUGAGCUGGGUCAGCCAGGACUGCUUGGUGAGAAGCUUCUUGCUUUCAGGCAUAGCUCAGCAUGCACACAGUUUCUGCAGGCUCCUUCCUGUUCCUCUUGCCUUCUGACAAGUGCUCCUGACCUCAGCUGGUGGUGAGUUCCUUCCUGCUCCCUGUGCCCAAGGCUAUUUGUCCUGUAAAUUUCAGUGGAAUUGUCAUUUCCCUCAGGAAGCUGUCCCUAAAUUUGAGCUUGGCGUGUUUUACUACUCCUAUCUUCCCA
rnacentral:lncRNA from 1 species